GUGUCAUCUCAAGUUAAAAGACCAUUCACACAACUACAGCAUCGAGAUGAUCACUAACGAUCGAGUAAAAAUCCAAAUGAUCUCUCGUAUGGUCAUGCUCAGUACUAGUUGUUCUCUAACAACUACCCACACUCAUCAUCCAGUAUCUCAACACUAUAGACUAGAGACCCAUCUAUCCAAAGGAAGCGAUCUGUGCAUCAGUUUAUCCAGAUCGAUCACCAUCCUCAUG
rnacentral:lncRNA from 1 species